rnacentral:rRNA from 1 species
CCUGAUGCAGCGACGCCGCGUGGGGGAUGACGGCCUUCGGGUUGUAAACCUCUUUCAGUAGGGACGAAGCGCAAGUGACGGUACCUAUAGAAGAAGGACCGGCCAACUACGUGCCAGCAGCCGCGGUAAUACGUAGGGUCCGAGCGUUGUCCGGAAUUACUGGGCGUAAAGAGCUCGUAGGUGGUUUGUCACGUUGUUCGUGAAAACCCACAACUCAAUUGUGGGCGUGCGGGCGAUACGGGCAGACUAGAGUACUGCAGGGGAGACUGGAAUUCCUGGUGUAGCGGUGGAAUGCGCAGAUAUCAGGAGGAACACCGGUGGCGAAGGCGGGUCUCUGGGCAGUAACUGACGCUGAGGAGCGAAAGCGUGGGGAGCGAACAGGAUUAGAUACCCUGGUAGUCCACGCCGUAAACGGUGGGUACUAGGUGUGGGUUUCCUUCCUUGGGAUCCGUGCCGUAGCUAACGCAUUAAGUACCCCGCCUGGGGAGUACGGCCGCAAGGCUAAAACUCAAAGAAAUUGACGGGGGCCCGCACAAGCGGCGGAGCAUGUGGAUUAAUUCGAUGCAACGCGAAGAACCUUACCUGGGUUUGACAUGCACAGGACGUGCCUAGAGAUAGGUAUUCCCUUGUGGUCUG